UUUGCAUUGAAGCAGGAAGUCAGCUGCAGAAAACAUGGUUAAGGGGUCUCAAACCUCUGUGUCCUCCCCUGACAGUUCUCCAUCCAGGGGGUCAUCA